rnacentral:rRNA from 1 species
GUGUCAGCAGCCGCGGUAAGACGAACCGAGCGAACGUUGUUCGGAAUAACUGGGCUUAAAGGGCGCGUAGGCGGGCGUUCAAGUUCGGGGUGAAAUCCUCCGGCUCAACCGGAGAACUGCCCCGAAUACUGGGCGUCUUGAGGGAGGUAGGGGCACGCGGAACUGUGGGUGGAGCGGUGAAAUGCGUUGAUAUCCACAGGAACUCCGGUGGCGAAGGCGGCGUGCUGGACCUUCACUGACGCUGAGGCGCGAAAGCCAGGGGAGCAAACGGGAUUAGAUACCCCAGUAGUCC